rnacentral:rRNA from 1 species
GACGAACGCUGGCGGCGUGCUUAACACAUGCAAGUCGAACGAAGUGGCGAACGGGUGAGUAACGCGUAAUCAACCUGCCCUUCCGAGGGGGACAACAGUUGGAAACGACUGCUAAUACCACAUACUGAAGGAGGUGAUUGCGUUUGAUUGGCUAGUUGGAGGGGAAACGGCCCACCAAGGCGAUGAUCAGUAGCCGGCCUGAGAGGAUGAACGGCCACAUUGGGACUGAGACACGGCCCAGACUCCUACGGGAGGCAGCAGUGGGGAAUCUUCCGCAAUGGACGAAAGUCUGACGGAGCAACGCCGCGUGAGUGAUGACGGCCUUCGGGUUGUAAAGCUCUGUUAUUCGGGAAGCGGUACCGGAAUAGAAAGCCACGGCUAACUACGUGCCAGCAGCCGCGGUAAUUC